rnacentral:rRNA from 1 species
GACGAACGCUGGCGGCGUGCUUAACACAUGCAAGUCGAGCGGUGCGGCGAACGGGUGAGUAACGCGUGAGUAACUGGCCCCCUCCCUGGGAUUACAGUUGGAAACGGCUGCUAAUACCGGAUAGUGGGGGAUGAAUCGCGUCCUAUCAGCUUGUUGGUGGGGUAGUGGCCUACCAAGGCGACGACGGGUAGCCGGCCUGAGAGGGCGACCGGCCACAUGGGGCUGAGGUACCGCCCAAACUGCAACGGGGGGCAGCAGUGGGGACUAUUGCACAAUGGGGGAAACCUUGAGGCAGCAACGCCGGGUGGGGGAUGUCGGCGUUCGGGGUGUAAACCGCUUUCGGCCAUGACGCGGUAGUGGCAGAAGAAGCACCGGCUAACUACGGGCCAGCAGCCGCGGUAAUUC